AAUCCAUGGUGAGGGCAAUCACGUUCAUACUCCUUAAAACGUUCCCAGGCUUCAUAGAAAGAUUUAGUAAUCGAUCCUGCAGGCAAAGAUUUCAACCAACGGUGAGCUU
rfam:Eutrema salsugineum unplaced genomic scaffold scaffold_8, whole genome shotgun sequence.